CGAAUACCCAAUUUUUCAAGAAGAAGAAAACGAAAAGCGCAGUUUAUUUUGGAUUUUAAAGAGAGAAAUCGAAAAAGCUUCACAAGGAGAAAAAGGAAUCAUUUGGAGAAUUCAAAUAUAUUGCGUACAACGGCACAAUUCCGAUUUCUUUGGCGUCGCGAUUUAAAGUGAACAUCAUGUGUGUGCUAAAAUUAAGACGAAAUGGAGCGCUGCCGUGUGAUAAUAAGGAAAUUCGCUGAAAUGCCUUUUUUCCCAAAAAUUCCUCUAUCCAUUCAUAUGGAUAUGUUCUUUAUUUAAUUUAAUAAACAAAUAUGUAAUAUUAUAUACCAAUAUUAUAUAAUAAUAUUAUAUAAUAAUAUUUAACCAUUUUAUAAUGAAAACUCAAACUUUGUUUGAAUAUUAGUGCAAGAUAACCAAAAAAUAUAACCACUUUAUAACGAAACUCAAUAUAUUUUUUUUAUUUUAACGCAGAAAGGAGUAUUACGCGAAAGUACUUCAGUCACCACGGGUAUUCGCUCAACCAGGGUUAUUUUUUUAAAGCGCGGCCGAAGGCCGCCAACGCAGAAAGGAGUACUACGCGAAAGUACUUCAGUCACCCCGGAUAUUCGCUCGACCAGGGUUAUUUUUUUAAAGUGCGGCCGAAGGCUGCCAUUACAGAAAGGAGUACUACGCGAAAGUACUUCAGUCACCCCGAUAUGAUAUAAAUUUUACAAUAUUAUUAUAGAUUUUUACUUAUUUAUUUUUAUUAAACAUAAAUCGCAUAUUAUACAUAUACAUACAUAUGUAUGUAUAGUAUAUAUGUAUACAUAUGUAUAUAUACAUGUGUAU